rnacentral:rRNA from 1 species
AUUGAACGCUGGCGGCAGGCCUAACACAUGCAAGUCGAGCGGAUGAGUGGAGCUUGCUCCAUGAUUCAGCGGCGGACGGGUGAGUAAUGCCUAGGAAUCUGCCUGGUAGUGGGGGACAACGUUUCGAAAGGAACGCUAAUACCGCAUACGUCCUACGGGAGAAAGCAGGGGACCUUCGGGCCUUGCGCUAUCAGAUGAGCCUAGGUCGGAUUAGCUAGUUGGUGAGGUAAAGGCUCACCAAGGCGACGAUCCGUAACUGGUCUGAGAGGAUGAUCAGUCACACUGGAACUGAGACACGGUCCAGACUCCUACGGGAGGCAGCAGUGGGGAAUAUUGGACAAUGGGCGAAAGCCUGAUCCAGCCAUGCCGCGUGUGUGAAGAAGGUCUUCGGAUUGUAAAGCACUUUAAGUUGGGAGGAAGGGCAGUAAGUUAAUACCUUGCUGUUUUGACGUUACCGACAGAAUAAGCACCGGCUAACUUCGUGCCAGCCGCCGCCGUAAGAC